CUGACAUAUACUCCCGCAAACGAUGGCGUCGAGUUCAAUACUUAACGAAUGAGUUUUGGUCACGAUGGAGGAAGGAGUUUAUUCAAAACCUCCAACUGCGUCAAAAGUGGAUACGACCACAGGAUGACCUUCACAUUGGGGACAUUGUCAUCAUCAAAGACGAGAAUCUUCCUCGCAAUCAAUGGUUGCUUGCUCGGAUUGCUCAGGUGUUCCCAGGCGAGGACAAUCAUGUAAGGAGGGUCAAACUCGCUAUUGGUGACCCCCACUUGGACGACAAGGGAAAGCGAGUCCAUUCUGAGAAGUUCCUGGAGCGUCCCAUUCAGAAGCUAGUCUUACUUGUGGAGGACUUGGAGACCAGGGGAAUCCCCGACGAGGAGCCCUGAGAAGCUUCAACAUACAUGUUGUGUUUAGUAGUUGUAUUCUUAGAUAACCUGUUAGUUUAUUGUUGUUUAAAGUACUUGAGUUUAGAAGUUUGAUAGUUUAUCUUGUUCGAAGGUAAAUGAUUACCAGUGAGAUGCUUCAAAGAUGAUUUAUUGUAUGUUUGUACAAUGUACUCAGACAACUUAAAGGAGCAGUUACCAUGUAAUUUUUGCAUUUUAGUCUAAUCAGUGCAUGUUCACAAUGUUGAUCAAGACGAGUCUAGAUUACUAUAACUUCUGAUUGUAAAUUAGUUACACUAAUUUGGGGAGCCAUGUUAAUGUAUUCACAAGUUUGCAUUUGUGUAUAGCGCCCUCUGUCAGAUGACUUUGGAGAACACAACUGAGCCACGAACAAACACACAUUAGCACAUGUAAAAUCCCUUCAUGUCAGACAUCUUUGGACGAUAUUUUCUGAGAAUCGUUUGAGGUUUUGUCUCUUUUGAGACCCAAGAAACUGAAAUAAGAGGGAAAGGAUGCAAGGAGUUUUCACGAAGCCACUGCGGAUUAUUUCACAAGCCACUGCGAACCAUUUCAUGGAAGACUUGCGAAUCAUUUUCAUGGAAUAAAUGCGAGAUGUUAUAAUCAA